UCCUUCUUUCCUCCUUUCUUCCCCCCUCCCUCCCUGCCCCUCUGUGCCGCACUGGAGAGCAAACCAGACCCUUGCACGUGCUAGGCAAGCACGGCCCAGCCAGGCAGGUGUUGCUUGUGUUGAACGUGAAGGAAGCCUCAGCAGGGGCCGAGUCCGAGUGAGCGGCGCUGGCUUUCACCCCGGCUGAGUUCGAGUUCGCAGGACUGCUCCCCACGCCUAAGCGAGGAGAUUCGUCCCCUCCAGGAAUGCAGCGCCCGCUUCCCUCUCACUAGAGCUGAACCAGCGUGCGCGGAAGUGAAAAGGCAAAGGCCCCAAGGGCUGUGAGUUUCCCUUCCUGCUCCGCGCUCGCGCUUCCGGCCGCUGCCCUCAGCGGACGGGUCCUGCCCACCCUCCCCAGCUGCGGGGCGCGGCCCAGUGAGCCUUCCCCGAGUUCUCGCCCGAGAAGCGAGAAGCGGCCGCUGCCUUGGCGAUCGGAAGGCGGGGCCCGCUCAGCACCGUCCAGAACUCGCCUGGGCUCUGGCAGGCGGGGGGCGAGGCCGAGACUUGGCUGGGCUGUCCCUUCCGCCGGCCUCGGCUGGCAGCUCUUCCGGCGGCGGGCGAGGCAAGCGAGCUGCUGCUUCCUCUCACCGCCUUCCCACGCCCGCUCGCACCAGCAUCUCGCGGAUGGCGGAGGCCCGGCAGGAGAGGCUGUGGCAGGUUUAACUGGGCUCUGCAGCCCCCACCUCGCCGGUGCACGGCUUCCCCAGCGCAGGUCUGGGAUGGGGAAGGAAGGGAUCUAAAUGGCAGAUGCAGAGCUCACCAGGAGCUUUAAUCUGAGAAGAUCGUAGCACUUAAUGGGAUCGGUGGACAUUGCUGGAUUAUGAUUUUUUUUUUUUUUUGGUACCGGGGGAUGGAACUCGGGUCCUUGCGCUUGCGCAGCAGGCGAUGAAACCACUGAGCGAAAUCCCCGGCCCUGGACUAUGAUUUUAACACUGGGAGAUCAAAUAAGCUUAAAAUCUGUUUGCCUCCUGAGUGCUGCGAUCACAGGUGUGGGCCACCACACCCAGCUAGUCUCUUUUCUGACACCGGAACGACCUUCGUACUUCAGCACAGGGGACUGCUGGAGGACUCAGACACCAGAGUUAGAGCUCCCGGGGUUCUGUCGCGCUGCGAGUCGGGUCACGGUGGUCACCACUGAGCUCGGAGGCCAGGACAUGCUGACUCUGGAAAACACAAUCGCCUUGGCCACCUCCCUUCCAGCUUCCUUCUAGUGUGCUGAGCACCAAGGCGUCAGUGAUUACUGCUCACCUCGGGGAUGAAAGCACAGGAAGCAGAAUCCGUAGCAGCCGCUGUGGAUGCCGGGACAAACGGAAGUGGGCCCCAUCCCAGCCACUGGCCCUCGGGCUCACUGCUAGUGAGACACGAGCCACUCAGAGGGAGAACCGAGUCAGCCAUAGGAAAAGCCAGAUGUGUCCGAGCACACACAGCUUAAACGUACGAGAUAGCAGCAUGUGUUUGUUUCUGAACAUGAGGUCGCACUGUCCACUAGUAAGUCAUGUCCCGCAGAUGCCAGGUGCUAGGAUUAUCCAUGCCUCCCCUAACCGAGGAGACAGACUAAGAAGUGCAGGGCUCUCUCCUAAUUUCCCUAUUUAUCCCGGGGAAGGGAUGAGCAGCUAGGUGUAAUAAUUACCACCCAGAACCACAAAACCCGGCAGACAGUCGUGGGCAGCGGUCUGGUCCCAAGUUAUUCUGCCACCAGUUGCAAUUUGACGCCCCCCUGGUGGGCUUGUCUGUCCAGCUUAAUUAAAUCAGGAUGGGCUUCUGGGUCCAUGCAGGGAAUCUCCCCAUGCGCUGGCAUCUGUCCGUGAGCCGCUGGAGAUGGCCCAAGGUCACCUUCUUCCUCCCUGCCCCUUAGGCUGGCAGUUGGCUGCUGGCUCCGUCUGACCCUUGCCAGCACCUAAAUCAAGACGACAGCCUUAGCUUGCCCUGUUCCGGGAGGAAGGGGAAUGGAUUCAGUGUUUCCAGGUCUGUUCAGUGAUUUAAACCUUGGGCGGGGAUUUAGCUCAGUGGUUCCGCGCCUGCCUUGUAAGUGAGUUGAACCUUCUGGGUGGAGUAUCAGGGCGUCGGGAGAGACAGCUUAGCUGUGCUGAGUGAGUGCCCAGCGCGUGGACAGUGACCACCUUGGCAGAGAUGGAAACCUGUGCUGGGCUUUGUGUGGCCCUGGUCGGCGUGGACACACUCAGGACUACCACACACCGUCCAUGUUUCUGCACUGGUGACCACAAAGGCGCCAUUACAGGGGCCCGCGAAGCUGUGCGCCCUGAGCGUCAGCAGAGCUCAGUCAGGAGGCCGCGUCGGCUGCUUUCCUCUGGGCUCCGGAUCCCGCCCGUUCCUGUCAGCUCUGUGCAGUACUCAGACCCUGUGUGAGCGCGGUCCAGCUACCAGAGUCGGGCGGAGGCUGCAGCCAGCUCCGCAAGCCGCCAGCCAGGGUGAGCUCGUGGGUCCUGAGCUGACAGCUCCUGGCCCUGGCACAUCGUCCUGUCUCUCCCACUGCUGUCUUUCCUCGGGGGACCUGUGUGGCACAGCAGUGGCUGAAACAUCACAAGAUCUUUGUCUCUGUUGAUGAACUGUACAUUGCAUAACCUUCUGUCUCUUCUUUAAAAACGUGUCAGGAAACAGCACAUACCAGAGUGUGGGAGAUGGAAUGGGGCUGCAGCGGGGCUCCGUGGCACAGCGCUGGCCUCACCAUGCCUGGGCCCUGGCCUCCAUCCCCAGAGCUCAGAAAAGAGCACACAUGAGCAGCCUUUAGCUUAAGAAACAGAACAUUCCCAGGCGCCCGCACCCCUGCUCGUCUGACCCCAUCCAUGCCGUAGGAGGUAGACAUUCUUUUGGACUUUUAUGAGUAAAUUCCCCUAUUCUUAUUUGUGGCUCUACUAUCUAUGUUGUAUCCCUAAUACAAUAUUUAGAUUUACUCGUUUUUGAACUUGUAGCAAAUGGAAUCAUACUGUAUGUAUUCUUCUGGGACUUCUCUUUUCUUAUGUUGUUUUUGAGCUCUUCAUCCCUGUUUACUGCAUGUAACCGUAUUUUGUGUUUUCACUGCUGUAUAGUAGUCCAAGUGCAAAUGUUUCAGUUAUCAGAGGUUUGGAUUGUUUUCAGCUUCUUGCUGUUACAGAGGAUGCUGCUGUGAACUUGCUGCCCAGUCAGAGCAUAAGCCAUGUGGGCAGGGCUCACGCCUGUCCUCUGCUGUCCCCAGUUUCUAGAACAGUGCCUCACCCAGGUGGGCCCAGUCAGCAUCAGAGAGCUCAGCACCUCCUUGUUCCUGUCUCCUGUGCGCAUGUGCAAGGAUUGCUCCGGGACCCCUGGGGUUCUCUGAGGCUCUUUUCAGAGGACAGAGUGUUUUCUCAUAAUUUGUCCUUUUCAUUCAGAUUUUUCCCAAUUUUAAAUUCUUUCCAGCUAUAUGAUAUCAUUGCUGCAAUAGCUAAUCAGGUUUCAUUUGUUUAUUUUUUAACAGUGUCUCCAUUUUAACCAGUGAUGUGCCACGAUACUGAUACAUAAAACCCACAGGAACAAUGGCUUUUGAGUGCCUCAGCAAUUUUUAAGAAUGUAAAGAGAUUCGGAGACCGAAAGCUUGAGAACCACUACUAUAAGAAGCUGGUUUUAGGGCCAGGGAUUUAGCUCAGUGGUUUCGACGCCUGCUGCGCAAGUGCAAGGACCCGAGUUUGAUCUCCGGUACCAAAAAAAAAAAAAGUGAGUUUUACUUGGUAAUGCCAACGUGUUUGCUAAAGUGCUUGUACCAGUUCCCACCCUGGUGGCAAUGGCUCAGAGUUCCCCAUGCCCCGUAUCUAGCACACACUUGCGCUUAGCUGUCUUUGACAUUUGCCAAUCAAAGCUAGGUGUGGUGGCACACACCUGUAAUCUCAACACUCAGGAGGCUGAGGCGGGAGGAUCGCCCUAAGUUUGAGCCCAGCCUGGGCUACACGGUGAGUUCAAGGCCAGCGUGAACUACAUAGCAAGACAGUGUCUCAAAAAACAAAACAAAACCUUUUGCCAAUUGGAUGGCUGUUAUAUAGUUUGCAGUUCCCUGUUUACGAGUGAAGUUGGUUUUUCACAUGAGCCCUCUUUUGUGAAAUUCCUAUUUAUGUGUCAUGCUCUUUUCCCCGUUAAGUUUUAUGUUUCUUUUUUCCUUAUUCAUUCAUGAUUUCUUUAUAUAUUCUGGAUAUCAGUCCUGUGUCAGCAUAACAUCUCACCCAUAUUUCCUCCCAGUUUAUGUGUUGUCUUUUGUACUUGUAUUGAAUACAUGAAUCAACUUGGAGAAACUUUACAUCUUUUCAGUAAUUGUGUCUUCCCGUGAAAAAGAGUAUGUAUCCCUCCGUUUACUAGCUCUUCUUAAUAUCUCUCAAUAAACAAUAAUUUUCUCUACAAAGGCUUUGAUGUCUUAUCUUAGAUUUCUUCACAGGAGUUGUGUAUUCUUAAUGCAAUCACCUAUUGAAUUUUUAAAAUUACAUUUCCUAUUCUGAUUCUCACAGAUUAUAGAAAUGGCAUGGCUAUGUAUUGAUUUUAGAUCCACCACCACUAACAAACGUGGAUUAUUUGAGAAAGGUGCCUGCACAUCCUUUAAGUUUUUACAUCAUCAGCAGUUUUCGUUUCUGACCCUUGCAUCUUAAAGAUUUUCUUAUUUCUGUACUGACUAGGAGCUGUACAACAAUGUCGAAAAGAACUGAGAGUGAACAUCCUUGUCUUAAUCUUGAUUUAAAGGAAUGGUUUUAGCAUUUCACUGUGCAGUAUAUUUUUUCAUAAAUGGCUUUUAUCAAGGAAGUUUUCUUCUAUUUCUGGUUUGUUUGGUUGGUUGGUUUUUUUGGUGCCGGGAAUCGAACUUGGGACCUUGUGCUUGCGAGGCAGGCGGCGGAACCACUGAGCUAAAUCCCUGGUCCUAUUUCUGGUUUGCUAAUUAUUUUAUUAUGGGUAGAUGUUGACUUUUUAAUAUUGACCCAACAUCUAAUUCCAACUCUCAUACGUUGCCAGGCUCAGGGCUUUGCAUCCUCAGGUGAGGUCCAUGUGUAAGGGUCCUCCUGCCUGGUCAGUCCUGUGAUCAGCUCUCCGGCUAAAGUUAUCCCGGCCUCAUAAAAUGGGGUUUUUGGUUCUGAAACUAGUCUUUAAAGCUAUUUGGUCAUUAACGGAAGAUCUCACUUUGUUUAAAGGUUAUAGGUUCA
ensembl:lncRNA